rnacentral:miRNA from 1 species
GAUACAGCCCAGGAAACCCCUCU